rnacentral:rRNA from 1 species
AUUGAACGCUGGCGGCAUGCCUUACACAUGCAAGUCGAACGGCAGCACGGGAGCAAUCCUGGUGGCGAGUGGCGAACGGGUGAGUAAUAUAUCGGAACGUGCCCAGUCGUGGGGGAUAACGUAGCGAAAGCUACGCUAAUACCGCAUACGAUCUAUGGAUGAAAGCGGGGGAUCGCAAGGCCUCGCGCGAUUGGAGCGGCCGAUAUCAGAUUAGGUAGUUGGUGGGGUAAAGGCUCACCAAGCCGACGAUCUGUAGCUGGUCUGAGAGGACGACCAGCCACACUGGGACUGAGACACGGCCCAGACUCCUACGGGAGGCAGCAGUGGGGAAUUUUGGACAAUGGGCGAAAGCCUGAUCCAGCCAUGCCGCGUGCAGGAUGAAGGCCUUCGGGUUGUAAACUGCUUUUGUACGGAACGAAAAGGUUUGGCCUAAUAAGCUGAGCUCAUGACGGUACCGUAAGAAUAAGCACCGGCUAACUACGUGCCAGCAGCCGCGGUAA